GGAUCACAGCUUAGUGGUAGAGCACCAGCCUAGCAUGCAGAAGGUCCCAGGUUCAGUCCCUGGCAUCUCCA